GGGCCAAAUCCUGCUGCAGGGAGCUGAGUGCCUGCAACACACAGCAGAGCAGUGGUUCUGCAAGCUGGUUGGGCUGCUGGAAUUGCACAGCUGCUCUGUGAGGGGCCUGGCACCUCUGGGUUUUGUUUGCUGCACGUGUCCUAACAGCAAUGCCUACCACAAAGGCAGCCAUGCUGGAGGUGAGAGCAUUAAGUUGGAGUGCCAGUGCUGCUUUCAGAUGAUUCCUUCCUCUCCCCCUUUUGCCUCCCACAUUUGUUGGAGCUGGAGUUGCCGUGUGCUGGCUGCUGGGAUCGGCUUUGUAAUCUUGAAUUACAUCGUUUGGUUGGUGAUGGCUUUUCCCCCCCUCCCCCUUUUCAGUUUGUUCCUGAUUUCUCCUCCUUAGGAAAUAGGAUGUUCCCUCUCCUUGGCUCUCUUGCAGCUUGCCAAAAUGAUGUUUGUUCUGCCUUGUUCUGCUGUUCAGGAGGGCAGCAGCACUCAGCUGUGAGGAGCCUCAGCCCUGGCUUAAGGGCUUCCAGUUAAACAGAUUUGCACAAAAGCCAUCCAUGGAUGCCUAUGGGUAGGAGAGUGAUCCAGAAGGAGGUUUUACCACUGGAUGCCAGUGGUGGGUAUGGUGAGGUGUGUAAAGUUUGCAUUACCUGCUAGAGGAGGUCCUCCAACAGCUGCUAUCCCAGCAAAGAAAGAAGCAAAGCCCAAGUAGCUGUGGAGUUUUUGCACGCCCACCAGGUCUACCUGUUGGUGUAAAUACAGGUAAGUAUCAGUAGGGCUCAUGGGAAGCACAGAAGCCCUUUUGUGGGGAGGUUCAUCUCCGGAUGCUGUGGGGUUUGGGGAGGACUUUGCACCUCCGGCUCUGACUCAGCCUGGAAUCCGCUCACCUCCCAAAGGUCAGCACCGAAAUUACAGCAUGCAAAGUGCAUCUGUGUGUGUGUUACAGACAGCCCAGGGGUUGGGACCACGCUUACAGCCCUUUGGCUUUGCAUUCGAGCUCAGGUAGUCGAUGAAUGGAUUCGUUCUCCUUCCUAUGAGCUUUUAGAAAGGAGGACGUGGAAGGCAAUUCGAGAAGCUCCCAGUGCUGCUGGUGCAUCCCAGUGACAGGGCUGGGCAGACUGGAGCCCUGCCAUAGGGGUUUGGGGGCAGACCCCUCUCACUGCAGACCACAGGAGCACGCCAGGGCUCUCCAGCCUUACAAAAAGCACAGGGAGCACCAGAGCCAGGAAUCCACCGCAGAAGAUGGCGAAGGCCACAGCGUAGGCCAUGAGCAGAGGGAAGGUGGUGGCCAGGGGGCAGAGCAGGUUGGUGACACCGCAGAGCACCAGGUAAGCUGCGUGGUAAUGGUACUUCUUGGUCCAGUUCUGGUCUGCAAUCCACCCUGAGAGCAGCUGGCUGCCCGUCUCGGUGAUGCCUGCAGGGAGAGGACACUGAGCCUCAGGGAAGGGUUCCUUACGUAGAUAGAUGUGUAUUUAUCCCAACUUAUGGUGCUUAUUUUCACAUUUCUGGAUGUGUUUGUGUCAGAUGAAGAUCAGGGGAGGGGGAGCUGUCAGCUCGUCGUGCUGCGUCCCUCCCGCUCUUAAUUAAGGGCGUCAGAUUAAUUGCUGUGGGCUCCUCCUCAGCUCCUCCGCCACAUACCUCAUUCCUACACGUUGCACAGCGCUGUAGAAGGGAGAUUUAUUUUUCUACAAUAAAAUAUUUUAUGAUGGCU